GCCGGCGUGGCGGAACUGGCAGACGCAAGCGACUCAAAAUCGCUCGUCCCUCGGGGACAUGUGGGUUCGACUCCCUCCGCCGGCA
rnacentral:tRNA from 1 species